CCUACGGGGCGCAGCAGUGGGGAAUAUUGGGCAAUGGGCGCAAGCCUGACCCAGCAACGCCGCGUGAGGGAAGAAGGCUCUCGGGUUGUAAACUUCUUUUGUCAGGGAAGAGUAGAAGACGGUACCUGACGAAUAAGCCACGGCUAACAACGUGCCAGCAGCCGCGGUAAUACGUAGGUGGCAAGCGUUGUCCGGGUUUACUGGGUGUAAAGGGCGUGUAGCCGGGUUGACAAGUCAGAUGGGAAAUCCUGCGGCUUAACCGCAGAACUGCAUUUGAAACUGUUGAUCUUGAGUACUGGAGAGGAAGACGGAAUUCCUAGUGUAGCGGUGAAAUGCGUAGAUAUUACGAGGAACACCAGUGGCGAAGGCGGUCUGCUGGACAGCAACUGACGGUGAGGCGCGAAAGCGUGGGGAGCAAACAGGAUUAGAUACCCUGGUAGUC
rnacentral:rRNA from 1 species